UACGAAGGGGGCUAGCGUUGCUCGGAAUCACUGGGCGUAAAGGGUGCGUAGGCGGGUCUUUAAGUCAGGGGUGAAAUCCUGGAGCUCAACUCCAGAACUGCCUUUGAUACUGAGGAUCUUGAGUCCGGGAGAGGUGAGUGGAACUGCGAGUGUAGAGGUGAAAUUCGUAGAUAUUCGCAAGAACACCAGUGGCGAAGGCGGCUCACUGGCCCGGUACUGACGCUCAGAGACGAAAGCAUGGGGAGCGAAUGGG
rnacentral:rRNA from 1 species